GUCUGGCUAACAGAAUAGCUCAGUUGGUAGAGGUUGAGACUCUUAAUCCCAGGGCUGUGGGUUCAAGCUCUAUGUUGGGCA